rnacentral:rRNA from 1 species
AGCUCCAAUAGCGUAUAUUAAAGUUGUUGUGGUUAAAAAGCUCGUAGUUGGAUCUCGGCGGGCUGGGGGCGGUUCGCUUCAUUGAGUUCUACUGCCCUUUAGGUCGGGGUUUUGCCAGAGGUCCCGGGGGGCCUUUACUCGGGUGUCCUGCGAUGCUGGCAGGUUUACUUUGAAAAAAUUAGAGUGCUCAAAGCAGGCUUUUACGCCUGAAUAUUCGUGCAUGGAAUAAUAGAAUAGGAAGUCGUUUCUAUUUUGUUGGUUUUCGGAAAUCGAGUUAAUGAUUAAUAGGGACAGUCGGGGGCAUUUGUAUUCAAACGACAGAGGUGAAAUUCUUGGACCGUUUGAAGACAAACUACUGCGAAAGCAUUUGCCAAGAAUGUUUUCA